rnacentral:rRNA from 1 species
CCUACGGGAGGCAGCAGUGGGGAAUCUUGCGCAAUGGGCGAAAGCCUGACGCAGCCAUGCCGCGUGAAUGAUGAAGGUCUUAGGAUUGUAAAAUUCUUUCACCGGGGACGAUAAUGACGGUACCCGGAGAAGAAGCCCCGGCUAACUUCGUGCCAGCAGCCGCGGUAAUACGAAGGGGGCUAGCGUUGCUCGGAAUUACUGGGCGUAAAGGGAGCGUAGGCGGAUAGUUUAGUCAGAGGUGAAAGCCCAGGGCUCAACCUUGGAAUUGCCUUUGAUACUGGCUAUCUUGAGUGUGGGAGAGGUUAGCGGAACUCCGAGUGUAGAGGUGAAAUUCGUAGAUAUUCGGAAGAACACCAGUGGCGAAGGCGGCUAACUGGCCCAUUACUGACGCUGAGGCUCGAAAGCGUGGGGAGCAAACAGGAUUAGAUACCCUGGUAGUCCACGCCGUAAACCGAUGAGUGCUAGUUGUCGGUCGAUGCAUGCAUGUCGGUGGUACGCGAGCUAACCGACAUUAAGUACACUCCGCCGUCGGGGAGGUACGGUCGCGAGAUAAACUACAAGAAGUAGACGCGUGAGACGUGCCGACGGACGACGACGAGGGAGGUUAGG